rnacentral:rRNA from 1 species
ACGCACGCUGGCGGCGUGCUUAACACAUGCCAGUCGCACGGAAAGGCCUCUUUCGGGGGGUACUCGAGUGGCGAACGGGUGAGUAACACGUGAGUAACCUGCCCUUGACUUUGGGAUAACUUCAGGAAACUGGGGCUAAUACCGGAUAGGAGCUCCUGCUGCAUGGUGGGGGUUGGAAAGUUUCGGCGGUUGGGGAUGGACUCGCGGCUUAUCAGCUUGUUGGUGGGGUAGUGGCUUACCAAGGCUUUGACGGGUAGCCGGCCUGAGAGGGUGACCGGCCACAUUGGGACUGAGAUACGGCCCAGACUCCUACGGGAGGCAGCAGUGGGGAAUAUUGCACAAUGGGUGGAAGCCUGAUGCAGCAACGCCGUGUGCGGGAUGACGGCCUUCGGGUUGUAAACCGCUUUCGCUCAUGACGAAGCUUUGUGUGACGGUAGUGGGUAAAGAAGCACCGGCUAACUACGUG